rnacentral:rRNA from 1 species
UACAGAGGGUGCGAGCGUUGUUCGGAAUUACUGGGCGUAAAGCGCGCGCAGGCGGCCCUUUAAGUCUACCCGUGAAAUGCCGGAGCUCAACUCCGCGCACGCCGGGGGAUACUGGGGGGCUGGAGACAUGUAGAGGCAAGCGGAAUUCCGGGUGUAGCGGUGGAAUGCGUAGAUAUCGUUUGGAACGCCAAUGGUGAAAACAGGUCGCUGGGGAUGAGCUGACGCUGAGACACGAAAGCCAGGGGAGCAAACGGG